GUCAAUCAAGUAAAUUAAAAUUAAAAGGACAAAAAUAGCACCCUCUGAUGACUUAUUUUACUUCCAUGAGUUCCAUCAACACAUAUUGACACACAGUACUGAAUCCGUGUGUCUUCAACUUGAGAAUUGGCAGCAAUGGAGUCUUGCCAUUAGACGACUCGCCCUAACUAAUACAGCCUGUUCCAUAUUCAUCCUCAUGUGUCCCUUCUGUUGCCUUUCCUCAUAUUACGGCAUAAAACCCCAUAGAUAUUUAUCACUG
rnacentral:lncRNA from 1 species